rnacentral:rRNA from 1 species
CAGUAGCCGCGGGAAUACGAAGGGGGCUAGCGUUGCUCGGAAUCACUGGGCGUAAAGGGUGCGUAGGCGGGUCUUUAAGUCAGGGGUGAAAUCCUGGAGCUCAACUCCAGAACUGCCUUUGAUACUGAAGAUCUUGAGUUCGGGAGAGGUGAGUGGAACUGCGAGUGUAGAGGUGAAAUUCGUAGAUAUUCGCAAGAACACCAGUGGCGAAGGCGGCUCACUGGCCCGAUACUGACGCUGAGGCACGAAAGCGUGGGAAGCAAACAGGAUUAGAUACCCCAGUAGUCCCUGUCUCUUAUAC